UCUGCCUGGUAGUGGGGGAUAACGUUCGGAAACGGACGCUAAUACCGCAUACGUCCUACGGGAGAAAGCAGGGGACCUUCGGGCCUUGCGCUAUCAGAUGAGCCUAGGUCGGAUUAGCUAGUUGGUGGGGUAAUGGCUCACCAAGGCGACGAUCCGUAACUGGUCUGAGAGGAUGAUCAGUCACACUGGAACUGAGACACGGUCCAGACUCCUACGGGAGGCAGCAGUGGGGAAUAUUGGACAAUGGGCGAAAGCCUGAUCCAGCCAUGCCGCGUGUGUGAAGAAGGUCUUCGGAUUGUAAAGCACUUUAAGUUGGGAGGAAGGGUUGUAGAUUAAUACUCUGCAAUUUUGACGUUACCGACAGAAUAAGCACCGGCUAACUCUGUGCCAGCAGCCGCGGUAAUACAGAGGGUGCAAGCGUUAAUCGGAAUUACUGGGCGUAAAGCGCGCGUAGGUGGUUUGUUAAGUUGGAUGUGAAAUCCCCGGGCUCAACCUGGGAACUGCAUUCAAAACUGACUGACUAGAGUAUGGUAGAGGGUGGUGGAAUUUCCUG
rnacentral:rRNA from 1 species